AUAUAUAUAUAUAUAUAUAUAUAUAUAUAUAUAUAUAUAUAUAUAUAUAUAUAUAUAUAUAUAUAUAUAUAUAUAUAUAUAUACCAACACCCAUACCUUCCAGUGUCUAUGCUGAGGUGUCAAUAUGCUACUUCUCUUUUCCUCUUGGAAUUCACGCUCAGUUUCAUAGGAUUGUCUUUCGUUCAUCUAGCUAACCCUUCUAGUGGAACGCAUUUCUUUUAUCACUAAUGCUUGCUCAGAAGUCCAUACAGCUAGUAUUGUUUUUGUGGAUGCCUACAUUCCCUGUGCAUAGUGUAUUGUGGCUAUGAAACUAACUAAGCAUUGACAAAAUAUAACAAAAUGAAGUAGUAAUUCUUAAAAUCAUUAAAGAUAUAAACAGCAUUCCAUUAUAAUAAAAACCAUGAGCUUCAAUAAAAACAGAGGCUUAAACAAACACGCUGAAUGGUUAUCUUGAAAUGAUCAUACAAGAUAGCAGUGUGUCGAUAAUUUGAUUUUUUGACAAACUCGCUUUCAGGCCUAGUCAGCUGUAUAUGUACUAAUUACAUCAUGUAUCUAAGUUUGAAUACAGAUAUUUGUACUUUAACCCAGGCAUGGUGUGUGUGUGUGUGUGUGUGUGUGUGUGUGUGUGUGUGAAAAUUUUUGUCCCCAAAUCACUGUGCAUGUCACAGACAUUUUUGCAAUGAUGGAAACAAGGUUUAUGGCUAAAAUAAGCACAGUAUUUGUAUUUUUGUAGAAGUGUCAUAUUAACUUGAAUUUCAUAUAUGUGGCAUCUCUCCGAAGGUGGGAGAAAGUUCAUAUGCAAAGUAAUACCUACAAAUGACAAGUUCUAGCUUAGCUGCCAUGUUGGGACACAUAUUGUUGACCUCUUUCCUGUUCAUCCCAUUUUUAAUUGAAACAAUGUUAUUCAGCUGUCUUUUGUGACAAAGAUAUAUUGAAAUACAAUAACCUUUUGUGAAAGAAUGACAUUAAAGAAACAUUUUUUUCCAGAAGAUAGAGCAAAGGACGUCUACACUGGCACAGACUUUCAUCACAGCCAGUAAAUUUAAGCCAUACAUAAAUAAGAUGACAAACAAUGACAACAUUCCUAAAAGGAAACUGGUGUGAUAGUGCCUGGGAAACUCCUCUUAGACUAUGAAUUAAAAUUAUACACCGUCAAGACAGUUCCUGCUUGCCAGUACAAGAAGUGAAGGGGCAGAAAUCCAAGUUACUUGAUAAGGCGUUGGUGAGAACACUGUCCUGUUGCAUAUAUGGUGACCGUCACUACUACAGUUAUUCAGGGAAAGUAAGUGAUCAUGGCCCCAAUGUAGAGUGUUGAAGAAAAGAAGCCUAUGAGGAAAGUGAGAACAACAUUUCCAGCUACUGCUUCGGUGGUCAUCAGUUCUCAAUAAAGGCCAUUCCCUUUGACAGGCUUCCGAAGGAUACCUGGCGAGCGCCACUGGAUCCACUUUUUUUGGAGGUUCCGAGUCCGAUGGAGAUGAAGGUUUCCUUCAGGGAGAUGGCAGAAAGAUGCAGGCUUCAUUUAAAAGGAAAUUGAGAACAUCCAGGAAAACCUUGAAUUUGUUGUUGGAAACCUCUCACCCACUCGCUAGGCAGCCAGUCAUUGGAUCAGCCAACCAGCCUGCCCACCGGCCAAAUGACUCAAAAGCUCCAUUGCCGUGGUAACAGCUCAAGCACACAGACAUUAAUGGCUGGCAGAAUACGAUGAGUUAGCCUCCCUGCAUAUGCUCAACAAACUGGUCCCCAGAUAUUCUGCAAUCCUCAAUUGUUCUGCUACAGACAAAAUCCCUUUACAAAUGCGACCAAGAUGCAAGUCUGGUGACUAUGCCAUCAAGAUGGUGGCAAACAAAUGCUAUUCAAGCCGUGCCCAGACACUUUCUUCCAGCAAAAAAUCAACAUUUGAGAGAAUCCAAGCACUAUCAUUGUAGAAACUUGGAAUCUAUUGGAACUUACCAUUAUUGUCAAAAUUGUUACCAUGGAAAUCAUUAUUGGCAAGAUCCUACAGUAUGGUUAAAGUUGAGUAUACCUCCUUUUUAUCAAACCUACCUUUGUAUCCCCUUCAUCCUGGGAAAACUCUGAUUGCUAAAAUUUCCUUUUGAACAAAAAGCAAAUCAAGAAAAUAAAAAUUUCUUCAUUUGGAAAAAAAUAAAAUAAUAAUAAUAAUGACUUCAACAUGAUGGAAGGAUCAGGUGAUAAGACACAUUGAGCAGUGUGAGAAAAGCAGUUAAAGUAGUCAUAGAGGGCAAAUUAGAGUAAUAACAAGUCAUGAUUAAUAUAGAUUUAAGCCUCAUCAACAAUGCAAUAUUUUGAGUAAAUUCAAGGCAUGGAGAAUUCAAGUAAAAAUAAUUUGAAUCAGUGCAUUGAUCUUCCUUGUAUGACAUCUAUGAGAUUGAAUUAUUAAUGCUGCAAAGCUUAGUUUUUACAUAGUUUUCUUUUUGCUGUCAAUUAAAAUGAACACUCUUGCAUGAUGUGUUCAUGAGAUAGUUCACCUUGAAAAAUCAUU